rnacentral:rRNA from 1 species
UAACACAUGCAAGUCGAACGAGAACGGAUUUUAGUUUACUAAAAUUGUCAGCUAAGUGGCGCACGGGUGAGUAAUAUAUAGUUAACCUGCCCCAAAGAAGAGAAUAAUUGAUGGAAACGUCUUGUAACUCUCUAUAUGCCUUUAUCACAUAAGUGAGCAAGGGAAACAUUUAUGGCUUUGGGAUGGGACUGUACGGUAUCAGAUAGUUGGUGAGGUAAUGGCUCACCAAGUCAAUGACGCCUAACUGGUUUGAGAGGAUGAUCAGUCACACUGGAACUGAGACACGGUCCAGACUCCUACGGGAGGCAGCAGUGGGGAAUAUUGCACAAUGGAGGAAACUCUGAUGCAGCAACGCCGCGUGGAGGAUGACACAUUUCGGUGCGUAAACUCCUUUUAUAUGAGAAGAUAAUGACGGUAUCAUAUGAAUAAGCACCGGCUAACUCCGUGCCAGCAGCCGCGGUAAUACGGGGGGUGCAAGCGUUACUCGGAAUCACUGGGCGUAAAGAGCAUGUAGGCU